AUUUUGUUUUUUCAUUUUUUUCCAUUUUUUUUACGUCGUGCUGACCCUCGUUCUUUAAAUGUCCCUAUCUCGAGGAGGACACCUGAAGGCGAGUCAUAAUGGCCUCAUCUCCGACAGGCUCCUCCCAUUUUUUUCGACUUUUUUUCCGAUGUUUUUUUACGUCGGGCUGACCCUCGUUCUUUAAAUGACCCUAUCCCGAGGAGGACAUCUGAAGGCGAGCCGUAAUGGCCUCAUCUCCGGCAGGCUCCUCUGAUCUUUUUUUCGUUUUUUUCCACGUUUUUUUUUACGUCGUGCUGACCCUCGU